GACGUAGGGUGCGAGCGUUGUCCGGAUUUAUUGGGCGUAAAGAGCUCGUAGGCGGCUCGUCGCGUCGACCGUGAAAACCCGCGGCUUAACUGCGGGCUUGCGGUUGAUACGGGCGGGCUAGAGUUCGGUAGGGGAGACUGGAAUUCCUGGUGUAGCGGUGAAAUGCGCAGAUAUCAGGAGGAAUACCGGUGGCGAAGGCGGCAUCCUGGACCGACAUUGACGCUGAGGAGCGAAAGCCAGGGGAGCAAACGGG
rnacentral:rRNA from 1 species